CAAAGUGGAUCGGAUUGGGCGAUACCUUCUGGAGACAACCGAUUGAGGGAGGUGUUCUUGAGCUGCCGGGAAGAGGCUAGAAGGAUGGUUAAUUGAUCAGUGAUCUCCCUGCUUGACCUCCUGUUGUGAUCCGAUUGAUUCCAAUGAGGUUGAGUGCUGUGGAUCAACAAGCACGACUGUGAGCUGAAGCGUAUCCAAUUUGGAUUUUCCAGCUCAAAAUAUCAGUAGAUUUGUUGUGGUAGUGCCUUAACAGGAUUUGAGACUUCUCCAUUCAGGAAAAGACAAGUCCGGUAGAUACAAAAAUUACAAGAUUGCAAGUUUGGAUUGAAGGUCACAAGAAAAAAAAUGGGGAGCCUAGUACUCAAGCUGUUGGAGAG